GACGAACGCUGGCGGCGUGCUUAAUACAUGCAAGUCGAACGGAAAAGGCGUGCCUUGGUUGGCUGCUCGAGUGGCGAACGGGUGAGUAACACGUGGGUAACCUGCCCGGUAGCGGGGGAUAACUACUGGAAACGGGGGCUAAUACCGCAUAGGAGCAGCUGCUGCAUGACAUGUGCUGGAAAGUUUCGGCGGUUUGGGUUGGACAUGCGGCUGCGCAGCUUUUUGGAGGGGUUGUGGCUAAGCACGGCUUUGACGGGGAGCCGGCCUGGGAGGGUGACCGGCCACAUUGGGACUGAGAUACGGCCCAGACUCCUACGGGAGGCAGCGGUGGGAAAUAUUGCACAAUGGGCGGAAGGCUGAUGCAGCAACGUCGCGUGCGGGAUGACGGCCUUCGGGUUGUAAACCGCUUUCGCCUGUGACGAAGAGUGAGUGACGGUAAUGGGUAAGGAAGCACCGGCUAACUACGUG
rnacentral:rRNA from 1 species